CGUGAGGAAUACCGGCGAGAAAUCGCCGACAAUACCGCAUGCGCUUCUCUUGGCAAAGAGAGAAGCAAAGCUCCUUUCGAGAGAGAGGGGCGCUUAGGGAGGGGCUUCCGCUCGAUUAGCUGGUUGGAGAGGUAAGAGCUCACCAAGGCGACGAUCGAUCGCUGGUCUGAGAGGAUGAUCAGCCACACUGGGAUUGAGAACGGCCCAG
rnacentral:rRNA from 1 species